rnacentral:rRNA from 1 species
AUUGAACGCUGGCGGCAUGCCUUACACAUGCAAGUCGAACGGUAACAGGUCUUCGGAUGCUGACGAGUGGCGAACGGGUGAGUAAUACAUCGGAACGUGCCUAGUAGUGGGGGAUAACUACUCGAAAGAGUGGCUAAUACCGCAUGAGAUCUACGGAUGAAAGCAGGGGAUCGCGAGACCUUGUGCUACUAGAGCGGCCGAUGGCAGAGUAGGUAGUUGGUGGGAUAAAAGCUUACCAAGCCGACGAUCUGUAGCUGGUCUGAGAGGACGAUCAGCCACACUGGGACUGAGACACGGCCCAGACUCCUACGGGAGGCAGCAGUGGGGAAUUUUGGACAAUGGGCGCAAGCCUGAUCCAGCAAUGCCGCGUGCAGGAUGAAGGCCUUCGGGUUGUAAACUGCUUUUGUACGGAACGAAAAGCCCUGGGUUAAUACCCGGGGUCCAUGACGGUACCGUAAGAAUAAGCACCGGCUAACUACGUGCCAGCCGCCGCAGUAACAC